rnacentral:rRNA from 1 species
GGAUGCGAUCAUACCAGCAAUAAUGCACCGGAUCCCAUCAGAACUCCGAAGUUAAUCUUGCUUGGGCGAGAGUAGUACUAGGAUGGGUGACCUCCUGGGAAGGCCUCGUGUUGCAUCCCUCU